CGUUUAAAAAGCGCCAGAGCUCUCCGUGCUGUGAUCAUACACAGACACACACACCCCCAACACACACCACUCGACACCUUCUCCUAACGCCAGCACUCGUUGUCCUGUGGCACGGCAGUAAUCUGAGAGGUGAAACACUCAGAUGAGUCUCUGCGCGACGUUGACAGCCUGAAGACGUAGAGCCAGUUUUGGUGUGACGCACAUUUGAAGCUUCAAAUUCCUGUCCCCAGUGACUGCUCUCUAAAAUUGUGUCCUCUGGAGGAAUGGGUGUGAAGGUACUCCUGUGCUUCCCCUUCUACAGACGCUGCAAAGAGCGAUGCAAGGACAGAGAGUGUCCUCCUGAAACAGAACCUGCGGUACCAAAAGCAGAGCCAAAGCCACGUCUCUGCUCAACAACAUCGACAGUCAGUGAGUGCGACAGUGGGAGCAGCCUGGGUAGUCCUCAAGCAUAUUUUUCCCAGAAGGCUCGGCUCUCCUUUAGGCACCAAAUGGAUAGCAACUUCAAUGCAAUAGAUGCCACAUAUUAACACCAGUCAGUCGCCAACGUUUUGAAAAUGAACUCUGACCCCUGUUAAGAGCUGGGUUAUGGUGUCAAGAUGGCGUCUUCAUGCCACUCAGGAUGUCCUGAAUUCUGUUCAAUAUAGUCAUCUUAUACUCUUAUGAAUGGAAUGGUUAUACUGAAGAAGCAAGUGGAGAAAAGAGUGCAUUUAGGAAAAAAAAUGUUUACAAGAUUUCAAAAAGUGCUUUCUAUGUUCUGUUUACAUCCCAAGAUUUUCUGGUAUGACUCCUUUCAAACUGUGAUCCUCCAAGGGCCACAGAUGUCUGCUUGCUUCUGGUAAUUCUGUGGAAAUGGAUAUUUGUUUAUAACAUAACACUCAUAUUGCUCAUCUUCUUAAGACAGUAUGUUCUUAUUUCUUGCUGAACUAAAAUCUGAAAUUUGUAAUUGCAAAAGUUUUUUUUACCUUUUCUUUUUAAGAUUAAUGUUUAUUUCUACUUCAGACAGCAAAGUGUCCUUUUCCAUCUGUUUCUUCCAAUGACAAAGCUCGAAGACUAGUUAAUAUGCAGUAGUUAAUAGAGCAGGUGUAAAGUGUAACAGUACACACAAGUGUUUUACAGUUUAAACUCCACAUUCAGUAGAGCUUUCUUUGCUUUAAAACACCAGUAUCUGAGCAAACAAAAGUUUGUUUUACAGUAGUGACAUUGUUAGAUCACCUACCAGGACAUGUAGUCUAUCUUUAUAACACUUACUUUUAUGCCUUUUGUAUUAAAGUGUUUGUACAGUCUUUGUAGUUUUUAAAAAAAAUAUGUGACUCAAUAUUCCAUUAAAAUUCUUCAUGUAAUUUUUAAAAUUAAAAAGAAACCCAUUUAUAAAUUUCACAUUUAUAAAAUUGAAUAAGACACUAAUGUAAACUUUGUUUUCUCUUUUAGUCGUGUGAUAUAUUCGACAAAUGUGAUAGGUCAUCUUUUCAAUGACCAUGAGAAAAUGUUCUGUUUGUGGUGUUAAUUUUUUUUGUAAGAAAUGACUAAAAAAAAAGGAAUUAAUUCACCUGGAUCUUUUAUUAAAAAUGACAAUACAAAAGG